rnacentral:rRNA from 1 species
GGCCAGCAGCCGCGGUAAUACGUAGGGGGCGAGCGUUGUCCGAAGUUACUGGGCGUAAAGCGCGCGUAGGCGGGUUAUUAAGUUGGAUGUGAAAUCUCUGGGCUCAACCCGGAAACCGCAUCCAAAACUGUUAGCCUUGAGGUAUGGAGAGGGAAGUGGAAUUCCUGGUGUAGCGGUGAAAUGCGUAGAUAUCAGGAGGAACACCCGUGGCGAAGGCGGCUUCCUGGCCAUAUCCUGACGCUGAGGUGCGAAAGCUAGGGGAGCGAACGGGAUUAGAUACCCCGGUAGUCCUAGCCGUAAACGAUGGAUACUAGGUGUUAGUGGUAUCGACCCCACUAGUGCCGCAGCUAACGCAAUAAGUAUCCCGCCUGGGGAGUACGGCCGCAAGGUUGAAACUCAAAGGAAUUGACGGGGGCCCGCACA